CGAACAGGAAGGGGAACGUGAUGAUCGUGUACAGGGCCGGAUUAGCCUCGCGGUACGACGCAAUACCGUACGCAUCGAUCAGAUUCUGGAAGCCGCGUGUAAAUUUGUUCGUACGAUUGUACGUUGGCGGAUCCUCAUCGGUGGCGAUAAUGUUCAGGAACGACGGUACAGCACUACCAACUGCAGCCGAUCCAUUCACCAACGCGGUCUUUACGUCCUGCAGACCAGCGGUCGGUACCCAGGCCUCUCCGAACAGACACUUCUUUGAAACGUCCACAUUGAACAUGUUCAGCGUAUGAUAGAUGGCC